rnacentral:rRNA from 1 species
AUGGGCAACGUCUGCGUCGACGCGCGCCGCAGCUUCGCCAAGAACGGCUUCUUCAGCACCAUCUCCGGCUCCAUUUGGCGCAACCGCUCCGCCGCUCCCUCGAGUAGCCCCUCCGAGCCUACCACCACCUCCCGCUCCGUCCCCGUUGUACAGCCCACCGCCUCUGCUCCUCCCCCCGAGGUCAAGCCGCCUACGCCUGAGCCAACCCCUACGGCCCCUCCAGCUCCCAUCGUCAUCUCCGAACCGGCGAGACCGCCCCCCCAACAGCACAUUCAGCCAGCGGAGAAAGAGGCCAAUACCCCUCCUCCUCCUCCUCCGUCGGAGCAGCAGCCGUCAUCGCAGCCGGCUCAGCCGCAGCCGAGACAGCAGUCGCGGCCCAAGAAGCCGUCGGGGCACAUCAAGCGCAUCUCGAGUGCCGGGCUGCAGGUGCAGUCGGUCCUCCGGCGUAAGACCGACAACCUCAAGGACAAAUACAGCCUCGGCCGGAAGCUGGGGCAGGGGCAGUUCGGCACGACGUACCUGUGCGUGGACAAGGCAACUGGUCUGGAGUACGCGUGCAAGUCCAUCGCCAAGCGGAAGCUCAUCACCGACGAGGACGUGGAGGACGUGCGGCGGGAGAUCCAGAUCAUGCACCACCUCGCCGGCCACCCGAACAUUAUCUCCAUCCGGGGAGCCUAUGAGGACGCGGUAGCGGUGCACGUUGUGAUGGAGCUGUGCGCCGGCGGGGAGCUGUUCGACCGGAUCGUGCGCAGGGGGCACUACACCGAGCGGCAGGCUGCCGAGCUCGCCCGUGUCAUCGUGGCCGUCGUCGAGUCGUGCCACUCGCUGGGCGUAAUGCACCGCGACCUCAAGCCUGAGAACUUCCUCUUCGUGGGUAAUGAGGAGGACGCGGCGCUCAAGACCAUCGACUUCGGCCUCUCCAUGUUCUUCCGACCAGGCGAGAUGUUCAGCGACGUUGUGGGGAGCCCGUACUACGUGGCGCCGGAGGUGCUCAAGAAGAGCUACAGCCAGGACGCUGAUGUGUGGAGCGCCGGCGUCAUCGUGUACAUCCUGCUAUGCGGCGUGCCUCCAUUCUGGGCAGAGACAGAGCAGGGGAUAUUCGAGCAGGUGCUGAACGGCACGCUGGACUUCGAGUCGGACCCGUGGCCCAGCGUGUCGGAGGGCGCCAAGGACCUCCUCCGGAAGGUGCUCGUCAGGGACCCCAAGAAGCGGCUCACCGCGCACCAAGUCCUCUGCCACCCGUGGCUGCAGAUGAGCGGAGAGGCACCCGACAAGCCGCUCGACUCGGCGGUUCUCUCCCGCCUGAAGCAGUUCUCGGCGAUGAACAAGCUCAAGAAGAUGGCAUUGAGAGUGAUUGCCGAGAACUUAUCAGAGGAGGAGAUUGCAGGGCUCAAGGAGAUGUUCAAGAUGAUGGACACCGACAAUAGCGGGCAGAUCAACUACGAGGAGCUCAAGGCUGGACUGGAGAGGGUGGGCGCCAACAUGAAGGAGUCGGACAUAUCUCAGCUCAUGCAGGCUGCCGAUAUUGACAACAGUGGUACCAUAGACUAUGGAGAGUUCAUAGCUGCCACUCUACACUUGAACAAAGUUGAGAGGGAAGACCAUCUAUAUGCUGCCUUCCAAUACUUUGACAAGGAUGGCAGUGGAUACAUCACGGCUGACGAGCUCCAACAGGCUUGCGACGAGUUUGGGAUUGAGGAUGUUCGACUUGAGGACAUGAUAGGCGAAGUAGAUCAGGACAAUGAUGGACGCAUAGAUUACAAUGAGUUUGUGGCCAUGAUGCAAAAAUCGACCACAGGCUUUGGGAAGAAAGGCCAUCAGUAUAACCUUAGUGUCGGUCUUAGGGAUGCCUUGAACAUAAAGUCAAAUAGCUAA